rnacentral:rRNA from 1 species
CAAACGACUCUCGGCAACGGAUAUCUCGGCUCACGCAUCGAUGAAGAACGCAGCAAAAUGCGAUACUUGGUGUGAAUUGCAGAAUCCCGUGAACCAUCGAGUUUUUGAACGCAAGUUGCGCCCGAAGCCAUUUGGCCGAGGGCACGUCUGCCUGGGCGUCACGC